UACUUUUUGUUUUUUCUUUUGAAUGUGUUGCAUUUAAUGACAAUCAACUUUGAGAUGCUAAAGUGUAUGUAUAAGUGAUGCAUGUUUGGAGUUUUUGUAUAAGUUGAGAUUGUAUAAGAAACAUAAGGCUUUUACUGGAAGUUAGCUUUUAAUUGAAGACAAGGGCUCUUGUCUAUAAUUUGAUUUGCGAAGAGUUUUGCCGUUGUUGCGAGAACUAUCAUUUUGGUGGAAGCCAUUGCUGCUAGUGAUUACGUUUUGAUUUUCUUCUUUAGAGUUUUGAUUCGAAGGUAUUUAAAAUCGGAAAAGAGUGGUAGCAACAUUGUUAGAUCCCGAAAAGUACAGGAUGAACACGGUGUUCUUGAGGUGGGUCUUGAAAAUGGUAUGGAUCUAUUACAUCAGUAUCCUACGACCCAUGGGACACCAAUAUUCUUGCUACUGGAUCUUUGGAUGGAACGACAAUAAUUAAGUCAAAUUUGUUAUUGAAGCUGUUUGGAAUUCAUCUCAUUUGGCUGCAAAUAUUUCUUACAGGGCUUGAAGUUGUCCUCGAGGCAGCAUGCACAUUUCUUGACACCCAGAUUCGGAAGAGAACAAUAGGUCAAAAACAAGGUUCGCAUGUAGGAUGACCUAACUUUGCUAUAUCAGAAACAUAUAGCAAGUGAAAACAUAGAGGCGAAUCCAGGACUCGUUUUAUAUUUAGUUUUGGUUUAGGUUUAUUAGAUGUAUAAUGUACUUAGUCAAUCACGAUGCUAUUGUCAUUGAUGUGUAGACACUAAAAUAAUUUGUAUUCAUACAACUAUAGUAAUCAAGUUUUAAAUUCUUCAAAA